UCGCCAAGCUUCCUCCCUCGUGGAGGAACUUUGCUACUUCACUAAAACACAAGAGACAAGAAAUCUCUGUGGAGAACCUGAUUGGGACUCUUGAUGUUGAGGAGAAGGCAAGAGCAAAAGAUGCUGGCCCCAAAGGCAACACACAAGAGGAUACGUCCACUGCCAACAUGGUUCAAAGUAACAACCACAACAACAGUAACAACAAGGGAAAGGGAAAAGCAUUCAACAAUGCUGGUCCAAAGAACACUACCACUUUCAAGAAGAAGAAGAAGAAAGGAGGCAACAAGGACAAGGAUCCUUGCCUUGUGUGCGGAGGACUUGACCACUGGGCGAGUAACUGCAAGGAGCGCAAAGGAGGACAGAUUCGGCAAAAAGUUUGCUAAUCUGACCAUUGGCAAUAAUGAAGAUGCAGGCAGGCCAUCAGCUCCUCGUGACGAUGGGGAACGGCGCCCAUGCUUCUGUUCAUGGUGUUGGCACGGUGGAUCUGAAGUUUACUUCGGAAAAGAUCGUGCAGCUGAGGAACGUGCAGCAUGUGCCCUCCAUUUAGAAGAAUCUUGUUAGUUGAUCCCUCCUUUGCAAGGACGGAUUUAAGUUAGUGUUAAAGUUAUUGUGUCUAAGUAUGGACAAUUUAUUGAUAACGGUUCUGAGUGCGGAGGCUUGUUCCGCUUAUCCCUUUCGGAUUUUUGUAAUAAGGACGUGAACAGCAUCAAUUCUAUUAAUAAUGGGUCUAA